AGAGUUUGAUCAUGGCUCAGGAUGAACGCUAGCUACAGGCUUAACACAUGCAAGUCGAGGGGAAACGACAUCGAAAGCUUGCUUUUGAUGGGCGUCGACCGGCGCACGGGUGAGUAACGCGUAUCUAACCUGCCCAUCACUUGGGGAUAACCUUACGAAAGUAAGACUAAUACCCAAUGACGUCUCUAGAAGACAUCUGAAAGAGAUUAAAGAUUUAUCGGUGAUGGAUGGGGAUGCGUCUGAUUAGCUUGUUGGCGGGGUAACGGCCGCCAAGGCGACGAUCAGUAGGGGUUCUGAGAGGAAGGUCCCCACAUUGGAACUGAGACACGGUCCAAACUCCUACGGGAGCA
rnacentral:rRNA from 1 species